AACGAGAAAGCGUCCUUCGGGGCGUGAGUAAAGUGGCGAACGGGUGAGUAACGCGUGGGUAACCUGCCCCUGAAUCUGGAAUAACUUCGCGAAAGCGAGGCUAAUACCGGAUAUUGUCCCAGGGACCGUGGUCCUUGUGAUGAAAGAUGACCUCUUCACGAAAGUUGUCGUUCAGGGAGGGGCCCGCGUACCAUUAGCUAGUUGGUAGGGUAAUGGCCUACCAAGGCGAAGAUGGUUAGCUGGUCUGAGAGGAUGACCAGCCACACUGGCACUGAAACACGGGCCAGACUCCUACGGGAGGCAGCAGUGAGGGAUUUUGCGCAAUAGGGGAAACCCUGACGCAGCAACGCCGCGUGAGUGAAGAAGGCCUUCGGGUCGUAAAGCUCUGUCAAGUGGGAAAAAAGCUUGCUGGUGAAUAGCCAGUAAGACUGAUGGUACCAUUGAAGGAAGCACCGGCUAACUCCGUGCCAGCAGCCGCGGUAAUACGGAGGGUGCAAGCGUUGUUCGGAAUUACUGGGCGUAAAGGGCGUGUAGGCGGCGUGGUAAGUCAGAUGUGAAAGCCCUGGGCUUAACCCAGGAAGUGCAUUUGAAACUGCCAUGCUUGAGUAUGGGAGAGGAGAGUGGAAUUCCCAGUGUAGAGGUGAAAUUCGUAGAUAUUGGGAGGAACACCCGUGGCGAAGGCGACUCUCUGGACCAAUACUGACGCUGAGGCGCGAAAGCGUGGGGAGCAAACAGGAUUAGGUACCCUGGUAGUCCACGCCGUAAACGAUGAGCACUAGGUGUAGCGGGUAUUGACCCCUGCUGUGCCGUAGCUAACGCAUUAAGUGCUCCGCCUGGGGAGUACGGCCGCAAGGCUAAAACUCAAAGGAAUUGACGGGGGGCCCGCACAAGCGGUGGAGCAUGUGGUUCAAUUCGACGCAACGCGAAGAACCUUACCUGGAUUUGACAUCCUUUGACAGCUCCGGAAACGGAGUUUUCCCUGCUUGCAGGGACAGAGUGACAGGUGCUGCAUGGCUGUCGUCAGCUCGUGUCGUGAGAUGUUGGGUUAAGUCCCGCAACGAGCGCAACCCCUCUCUCUAGUUGCCCAUAUUCAGUUAGGCACUCUAGAGAUACUGCCUCGGUUAACGGGGAGGAAGGUGGGGACGACGUCAAGUCCUCAUGGCCUUUAUAUCCAGGGCUACACACGUGCUACAAUGGGCGGUACAAAGGGUUGCCAGUCCGUGAGGAGGAGCUAAUCCCAAAAAGCCGCUCUCAGUUCGGAUCGGAGUCUGCAACUCGACUCCGUGAAGUUGGAAUCGCUAGUAAUCGUGGAUCAGCAUGCCACGGUGAAUACGUUCCCGGGCCUUGUACACACCGCCCGUCACACCACGAAAGUUGGCUGUACCAGAAGUUGC
rnacentral:rRNA from 1 species